AUGGAACGAAAAGACAAAGUGCUGUAUCACACCCCAUGUCUUAACUUCCCUGACAGCCAGCUGCAGCUGAUCAGUGCCAGUAAACUGCAUAUACUCCAACAUCAGAGCUUCAAAUUGUCAGGCUCCCAGUUCUUCCACCUACCUUGCCUUGUCAUCCCAAGGUCAGCUGUUGAAUGAAAAAUAUUCUGUACCAUUUUCUGAGCUUUAAGAAAAAAGGAAAUUGAAGGAUGUGGAACAGAGCACCUGGGAUGUGCAGUACAGGCUCCCAGCCCACUGGAGGUUCCUGCAGCAUACUCAAGUCUGAUGGAUGCCCUUCCUCUGUGAGCAGAGUCUCUUGUGCUGAGUCAGGUCAUGCUUGCAUGGCUGUGCUGAAGGGGAUGGAUGAUUCUUCAGGGCAGAAAGUGCAAAGAGUGGCUUGUGCUGUAUACAAAAUUCUGCAAGGUAUGAUAACCUCCCUUUUUUUCUGGUUGUAGCUCAAUUCCUUCAACUGUGAAAUCUAAUUUCUCCUGGGAAGAAAAUAAAAAGCCAUGUGGAAUCA
rnacentral:lncRNA from 1 species